CUAUCAGCAGGAGGCAUGGUGAAAUAGGAGCACGCACUUACAUUCUCGUGAGAACAACACGCAAGGCAGUAUCUAAUAAUGUGUUGUUUGAAUACAGGUGGAAGAACAGUAAAGAGAGCAUCGUGCAUUACUGCAGAUGGGUGAGUUGCGGGCACGGGUGCACAGGAAACGACGCAGACGGCGCACUAGCCGACGCAUAACUAAUGCCCGCGGCGCCACCUGCCGAGGUCACCCCAGUGCUUCCAAAUUACAGUAGAUCUACUGUUUUUACAGAUAAAUAAAAACAUCAAAAUAUAUUAUUA